rnacentral:rRNA from 1 species
UACGUAGGUGGCAAGCGUUGUCCGGAAUUAUUGGGCGUAAAGGGUUGGUAGGUGGUCUUGUUUGUCUAAGGUGAAAUCCCAUGGCUUAACUGUGGAAGUGCCUUAGAAACGGCAAGACUAGAGUCCUAGAGGGGUUUGUGGAAUUCCCGGUGUAGCGGUGAAAUGCGUAGAGAUCGGGAGGAACACCAGCGGCGAAGGCGGCAAACUGGAUAGGCACUGACACUCAACAACGAAAGCGUGGGGAGCAAACAGG